UAAAGCAAAGACUGAUUAUUCAA
rnacentral:siRNA from 1 species